CACAUGACUCUCAGCAACGGAUAUCUCGGCUCUCGCAUCGAUGAAGAACGUAGCAAAAUGCGAUACCUGGUGUGAAUUGCAGAAUCCCGCGAACCAUCGAGUUUUUGAACGCAAGUUGCGCCCGAGGCCUUCUGGUUGAGGGCACGCCUGCCUGGGCGUCAUGCCAA
rnacentral:rRNA from 1 species